GCCCGCGCCUCCCCCAGUCCCAUCCGUUCCAUACAACACAUCUGUCUUCGAUCCUUGCUACUGGAUAUAUUGUGGAGGAGGGACGUGCACGAAGUCAAAAACUUAUGAGCACACUUGCCAAUGCAAUGCCGGUUUCACGAAUCUCAUGAAUGUCAGCGUCUUCCCGUGCUUCAGUGAUUGCGCAAUCGGUAACGACUGUGAAAAGUUUGAAAUAAAAGUUUUCAACUCGUCUACCGCAGGAUAAGAUGGCGGAAGUUAUG